rfam:Salmo salar isolate Sally breed double haploid chromosome ssa16, whole genome shotgun sequence.
UGAAUGCACUAAUUGUAAGCCGCUCUGGAUAAAAGCGUCUGCUAAAUGACUAAAA